rnacentral:SRP_RNA from 1 species
GCCGGGCGCGGUGGCGCGCGCCUGUAAUCCCAGCUACUCGGGAGGCUGAGGCUGGAGGAUCGCUGGAGCCCAGGAGUUCUGGGCUGCAGUGCGCUAUGCCGAUCGGGUGUCCGCACUAAGUUCGGCAUCAAUAUGGUGACCGCCCGGGAGUGGGGGACCACCAGGUUGCCUAAGGAGGGGUGAACCGGCCCAGGUCGGAAACGGAGCAGGUCAAAACUCCCGUGCUGAUCAGUAGUGGGAUCGCGCCUGUGAAUAGCCACUGUACUCCAGCCUGGGCAACAUAGCGAGACCCUGUCUCUU